GAGGGCACCACCAUACUACCCAGGACACAUUUGAUCUCACAAGAAUUCAGAAGCUAAGCAGGGCCAGGCCUGUUUAGUAUUUGGGUAAUAAACCACUGAGGGCCCUUC
rnacentral:rRNA from 1 species